UGGGGAAUCUUGGACAAUGGGCGCAAGCCUGAUCCAGCCAUGCCGCGUGAGUGAAGAAGGCCUUAGGGUUGUAAAACUCUUUCGCCGGAGAAGAUAAUGACGGUAUCCGGAGAAGAAGCCCCGGCUAACUUCGUG
rnacentral:rRNA from 1 species